rnacentral:rRNA from 1 species
CCGCAAGGGGUGGCGCACGGCUCAGUAACACGUAGUCAACCUACCCUAGGGACGGGGAUAACCUCGGGAAACUGAGGCUAAACCCCGAUAGGCUAUAGCCUCUGGAAUGAGCUAUAGCUGAAAUCUAUAUGGCCCUAGGAUGGGACUGCGGCCGAUCAGGUAGUUGGUGGGGUAAUGGCCCACCAAGCCUAUAACCGGUGCGGGCUCUGAGAGGAGGAGCCCGGAGAUGGGCACUGAGACAAGGGCCCAGGUCCUAUGGGGCGCAGCAGGCGCGAAACCUCCGCAAUGGGCGAAAGCCCGACGGGGUCAGUCCGAGUGGUUCCCGCUGAGGGAACCUUUUGCCAGCUGUAAACAGGCUGGCGAAUAAGGGGUGGGCAAGUUUGGUGUCAGCCGCCGCGGUAAUACCAGCACCCCGAGUGGUCGGGACGAUUAUUGGGCCUAAAGCAUCCGUAGCCGGCUUAGCAAGUCUUCCGUUAAAUCCAACGGCUUAACCGUUGGGCUGCGGAGGAUACUGCUAAGCUAGGGGGCGGGAGAGGCGAGGGGUAUUCCCAGGGUAGGGGUAAAAUCCGUUGAUCCCGGGAGG